rnacentral:rRNA from 1 species
UACGAAGGUCCCAAGCGUUGUUCGGAAUAACUGGGCGUAAAGCGUGUGUAGGCUGCGCGGAAAGUCAAAUGUGAAAGCCAAGGGCUCAACCCUUGAACUGCAUUCGAUACUCCCGUGCUAGAGUAAUGGAGAGGUAAGUGGAAUUCUCGGUGUAGCAGUGAAAUGCGUAGAUAUCGAGAGGAACAUCAAUGGCGAAGGCA